GAUGAACGCUGGCGGCGUGCCUAAUACAUGCAAGUCGAGCGAACAGACGAGGAGCUUGCUCCUCUGACGUUAGCGGCGGACGGGUGAGUAACACGUGGAUAACCUACCGAUAAGACUGGGAUAACUUCGGGAAACCGGAGCUAAUACCGGAUAAUAUAUUGAACCGCAUGGUUCAAUAGUGAAAGACGGUUUUGCUGUCACUUAUAGAUGGAUCCGCGCCGCAUUAGCUAGUUGGUAAGGUAACGGCUUACCAAGGCAACGAUGCGUAGCCGACCUGAGAGGGUGAUCGGCCACACUGGAACUGAGACACGGUCCAGACUCCUACGGGAGGCAGCAGUAGGGAAUCUUCCGCAAUGGGCGAAAGCUUGACGGAGCAACGCCGCGUGAGUGAUGAAGGUCUUCGGAUCGUAAAACUCUGUUAUUAGGGAAGAACAAAUGUGUAAGUAACUAUGCACGUCUUGACGGUACCUAAUCAGAAAGCCACGGCUAACUACGUG
rnacentral:rRNA from 1 species